rnacentral:tRNA from 1 species
AGGCCAGUAGCUCAACAAGGCAGAGCACCGCUCUCCAAAAGCGGGGGUUCCAGGUUCAAGUCCUGGCUGGCCUGCCU